GUACACAAAAAUGCACAUGCUGUGAGCUCGAUGAGUAGGGCGGGACACGUGGUAUCCUGUCUGAAUAUGGGGGGACCAUCCUCCAAGGCUAAAUACUCCUGACUGACCGAUAGUGAACCAGUACCGUGAGGGAAAGGCGAAAAGAACCCCGGCGAGGGGAGUGAAAAAGAACCUGAAACCGUGUACGUACAAGCAGUGGGAGCCCUGAUUUAUCAGGGUGACUGCGUACCUUUUGUAUAAUGGGUCAGCGACUUAUAUUCUGUAGCAAGGUUAACCGAAUAGGGGAGCCGGAGGGAAACCGAGUCUUAACUGGGCGUUAAGUUGCAGGGUAUAGACCCGAAACCCGGUGAUCUAGCCAUGGGCAGGUUGAAGGUUGGGUAACACUAACUGGAGGACCGAACCGACUAAUGUUGAAAAAUUAGCGGAUGACUUGUGGCUGGGGGUGAAAGGCCAAUCAAACCGGGAGAUAGCUGGUUCUCCCCGAAAGCUAUUUAGGUAGCGCCUCGUGAAUUCAUCUCCGGGGGUAGAGCACUGUUUCGGCAAGGGGGUCAUCCCGACUUACCAACCCGAUGCAAACUGCGAAUACCGGAGAAUGUUAUCACGGGAGACACACGGCGGGUGCUAACGUCCGUCGUGAAGAGGGAAACAACCCAGACCGCCAGCUAAGGUCCCAAAGUCAUGGUUAAGUGGGAAACGAUGUGGGAAGGCCCAGACAGCCAGGAUGUUGGCUUAGAAGCAGCCAUCAUUUAAAGAAAGCGUAAUAGCUCACUGGUCGAGUCGGCCUGCGCGGAAGAUGUAACGGGGCUAAACCAUGCACCGAAGCUGCGGCAGCGACGCUGAUGCGUUGUUGGGUAGGGGAGCGUUCUGUAAGCCUGUGAAGGUGUGCUGUGAGGCAUGCUGGAGGUAUCAGAAGUGCGAAUGCUGACAUAAGUAACGAUAAAGCGGGUGAAAAGCCCGCUCGCCGGAAGACCAAGGGUUCCUGUCCAACGUUAAUCGGGGCAGGGUGAGUCGACCCCUAAGGCGAGGCCGAAAGGCGUAGUCGAUGGGAAACAGGUUAAUAUUCCUGUACUUGGUGUUACUGCGAAGGGGGGACGGAGAAGGCUAUGUUGGCCGGGCGACGGUUGUCCCGGUUUAAGCGUGUAGGCUGGUUUUCCAGGCAAAUCCGGAGAAUCAAGGCUGAGGCGUGAUGACGAGGCACUACGGUGCUGAAGCAACAAAUGCCCUGCUUCCAGGAAAAGCCUCUAAGCAUCAGGUAACAUCAAAUCGUACCCCAAACCGACACAGGUGGUCAGGUAGAGAAUACCAAGGCGCUUGAGAGAACUCGGGUGAAGGAACUAGGCAAAAUGGUGCCGUAACUUCGGGAGAAGGCACGCUGAUGGUA
rnacentral:rRNA from 1 species